CAUGGUGACACUUAGAAUGUCGGGGCCCCCUUAGUGGCAGGCAAAGAAAAAUUGGAUUGAUUUCACUGGGACCAUCGCUGCCAAACAAACAUAUUGGAUUCUCAGUUCUGUAAGAGUGUCUUGCUGCUGUUCCUGGCCUACAGAGGACAGCCAACACUUACUUCCUCAUGUAUGCCCUUCCCCCUCACAUCAGUAUCUUCUGUAUCAGCCAGUAAAUGAAUACCUGUGGAUCCUUGAGUGAAACGUGGCUAGGAGGAAAGUAUUCUGCUUUACACGGACUUAACAGCAGACAGCCAAAGCCAUCUGAACCCACGAUCUUCAUACCACCUCCUUUUCUACAACCUCUCAACGGUUAGUACAAUCCCUGUGCUCCUAAUGACAGAUGUGACUUGUGCCAUGUGGCAGUACACCCACUGGCCAUAAAAAUCUCAUCUAGCACCUGUAACCAAGUUCUGACUGCCAGGCAGCUAAGGAAUGACUCCACAUCACCUGCCGGAACUGCUUCCUAGGACAACUCUGGUGUUAAUGCUCUUAGAACGGGCUUCUCAACAAAACAGACUGUGAGGUAAAGACUUGAAUGUAUAUUUAUGGAAAGGAUUUUCAUCUGAGUCAUGCAUAUAAGAAAAUACUUGUCAGAGUGUAAGGGAGCAGGAUAGGCAAAGGGAGAAGCUGAAGAGCAAUGCACUUUUGACAGGUCAUUAAGCCAACCAACCUAUGAGAGAAGCUCUGAAGUCAGAGAUAGCUAGGCCUGAAUCAUUGCAGUAUUCAGCCAUAGGAUACAGACAGCUUGUGGAGUAGAAGUGCAUCUCUGUUGUGUGGUACUUCCUUUUGGUGAAAGGAAAAGCUUUCAAACAGUGAACAGUCCUUGCAAUUGUGUAUAUGUGUGUUGAUCUCAAAGAUUGAACUAUGUGAGAUACUAUGAGAUCUGGCCUGGACAAGAAGGUUGUUCUUCAAUGUCAGGCUCCUGAAGAAGAAGGUCCUGAACAAGCUAUGUCUUAUGCCAAGCAAGCUUACUAUGAAUCUUACAUAUUAUUUACCAGAGAGAAAAAUAGGACAGAGUAAGCAAAACAUCAUCAUACAACAGGACAAAGUCAGCAGGAAGCUGAUCAAGCAGUGUUGCACAAUGGGAACAUGGGACAUCACAAGUAUGUCACAACAACUGAGUGCUUAUCAGCCUUGGGGCUGAUAACUCCGGUCUCUUCAGGAGGAAAAGCCAAGUUCACUGGAACUCAAACUUCAGCACUUUUGAAAGCUCCAGACCUGAUUUUGCCAAGAUUACCCCUGAGCAAGGAUAUAAAACUAGGUUCCCUUUGUUUUUGCUCUUCUAUCAGGAUCUCUGAGUAAGUCUUGGAUCAACCUAGCUCUCAACAAAUCCAUUAAGCAUGGGUUUUUGCUUAGCUGUAGGAAGUUCAAUACCCUCAAAUGUAGAAUGUAAGAGGGAUAUGAAUGUAGAACCAGAUGUCUGAGGAGUUAUCAGAUCAAAAAGGGGUUUUGAUGAUAAAGGUAACUAACCUCCAAAGGUAACAAUACCCAAUAAGCACCAUGACAUAUAAAUCUGGAUUUCUGAGAAAAGAUAUUGGUACAGAAUUAUCCAAUGCAUGGAAUCAAGUUGAGAGUCACCAGGAAGUUGGAUCACUUGAGUCUGAGUUGAGGGUGUUUGAGCUCCACGUACAGUAGAGAAAAGGUCUUGGCCUAAUUACUUAGUACUCUGAACCCAAAUUUCCACAUCUGGUAUACCUUCCCAUGACUGUUACAAGGAAUGAAUAUGAAGAUUCACACAAAGUAGUUAAAUAGAGCUUGUCACACUAUAAGCUUUCAAUAGAUUCUACUUAUUAUUACCAUUAGUAUAUGAAUGGAAACUUAAAAGUGAAUGGAUAAAGGAGAAUUUGAAGAAGAAAAGGGGAAAGAUAACUGGAUAUUGUAGAUGGCGUGUGAGGUAAUGAAAGUAGACUGGAAAUCAGACUUCUGACUCUUUGCAUAAACUUUUUCCUGAUUACAUCCACCUAGAUGCCAAAUGGGCACCCUAGCUUCACUGACUAUAAAUUCAAAUUCAUUAGCUUUCCCUAAGUUUCCAUUGCUUCCAAUGCCUUCUAUUUUAGUGAAUGACAUUUCACUUUUCUCCUAGGCACUAUGGCCAGCUCCAAACUCCCAUUUCAAUACUGAUUUUCUAAAACUUGAGGAUUAGCCUCAUUAUUCCCCUCUAAGAAAAAUAUCUUCUCAACACUAACAUGCUACCCACCUCCAAAAUGUCUUACAAAUAUUUUUUCUGUGACCUUAGCAUGGAGAUUUCCUUGCUCCCACCUUUAUCUUGUAUAGUCUUGUCAGUGUGUGUGUGUGUGUGUGUGUGUGUGUGUGUGUGUGUGUGUAUGACCAUAUAAUGUCCAUGCUCUACAGUGGCCUUCUAUAAAGUCCAAAUUCCUUUGUGCUAACAAAGUCCUUAGAUAUCUGUCAUACAUGAGCUUAUGAAACAUUAAUCCUAUAAUCACUUUACACUCUCCCAACUUUCUGGACAUGUAUAACUAUCACAAGUUCCCCAAACUAGUUCUACUCCACCACUGCCCCCAAGUAUCUUGAUUUGUUCUCCAUAGGCUGGAAGAAACCAUCUCUUAGAUUUGCCACUCUUUUUAUCUUGUAUCUUCUCAUCAAAACAUAGUCCUCUCUCAAGCUCCACGUCAGCUAAUUUCUAAACAGUUGUCCAAACAAAUAUCACCUCUCUUCCUACUACACACAUGAUGCACCUGUCAUUUUGUUUGCCCUUUGCAUCGCCAACCGAUUUCUUGGCUUUUAAUUUCCGUGUGUUUUUCUCACAAGAGAAAGAAUGAAACCUCAUCACAGAAUGUAUAAAAUCUCUAUUGCAAUGUGGUAGAGAAGUCAUUGGGCAUUUGAAGUUACUGAGCCCCUACAUUGUACCUUGUGGGCUGGUAAACAGAGCGCUUGCCCAGCAUACCUGCACUGGGUUCAUUUCUCCAGCAUCACCAAGGUAGAGGCAGAAAAAAAAACAAAGAAUAGGGGAGAAGAUGGCUCAGGGAAUAAGAGAAUUUGCUGGACAAGUGUGAGGAUAUGACUUUAAAUCCCCAGGACCCUCAUAAAAAAUAAAACAUGGACAUAUAUGCCAAUAACUCCAGGGUUGGCACGUAUAGACAGAAAACCCCUGGAGCUUAAUGGCCAGCUAGCUGAGCAAAAUAGCAAGUUUCAAGUUCGAUGAGUCUUAAGAGACUGGGGUAGAACAUGAUAGAGCAGAGCAUUCAACAUCUUCCUUUGGCCUCUUCCUGUUUUCAUAGGCAUGUAUACCCACAUACACACCACACACCACACACACACACACACACACACACACACACACACACACAAUGCAGCUUCUCUGAAUUAAAAAUAUACUUACUUAAAAAUGUGCACCUUAAUUUAAAGGUCUACUAUUGAAAGAUAAUGUAAAAAUCUCAUUAACAAAAGUUAUGUUGCUUAUAUGCUGCCCUAGUUAGCUUUGUUAAGUUGAUACAGCCUAGAGAUAUCUAUGAGGAAAGCCUCCAUUGAGGAAUUGCCUUAAUCAAAUUGGCCUGUAGGCAUGUUUGUGGGGCAUCACAUUAUCAACUAAAUGUAGGAGGGUGAUAUUCCUAGGCUAAAAGCUAUCUAAACAGGAGUCCAGUGAGAGAGCCUGAAAGCAGCAUUCUUCCAUGGCUUCUGCUUUGCUUCCUUGUCUGUGAGUGAGCUCCUGUUGAGUUCCUGCCCUGACUUCCCUCAAUGGUGGA